CAAGAAAAACUCCCGACGAAGAGAAAGCCCGUCCGAGUAAGGCAGCCCACGGGUCGCCCUCCAAGCCUUGGGAGCGCUCGGUAGCCUUGGUCACGGAAGAUGCGAAGGCAGGGCUGGUACCUGGUGAAUUCACACAGGGCGGGAGUUUCCACCCUCGCUGUGCCGGCGUUUGGUGGCUGGCGGCAACAGCCGAGAACUGGAGCUGGUCCGGAGGAGAGGAGGGAGAGCCGAGGCGGCUUCCCGGCCCCCCCCCCCCGGCUGCUCUCUC